AUGGUCAGUCCCUGUACUUGUGCCCUCCCAGACCGGGGAGCGCAGAGCCGGGCGGGGCCUCCAGGAGGCCGGGACGGCUCCGCGACCAAGCGGGAGGCGAGCCGGGUUCGGGGAGCAGGGCUGGCGGCGCGAUGCGGAAGGCGGGCCCGCGCCGCGCUCCUCUCCGCCCCCGCGAGCCAGAUGGUCAGGUGCCACGGAGGCGCGGCCCGCUGCGGGCCGGCCGGGGACGACAGGGGCUUGGCGCCUGCGGUUCGCCAUCGCCCAGGGCAGGGCUCCACGCGGGCGCGGGCGCCGCGCGGGGCGGAGCGCGAGCAGCCGCGGGCGGGGCGGGGCCUGGGAGGGCGCCGGCCGCCGGAGGAGGGGCGGGGCGGGGCGGAGCCGCGGCGCGCGCGCCCGCUGGGGAGGGGCGGAGCAGGCGCCGAGCGCGCGCAGGCCGGCCGCCGCGAGCGUGGGGCGAGCGUGGACCGCGGCGCGGCGGUGCGACUCCUUCGCCGGCCCUCCUCCCCGCCCCCGGCGAGGGCACCGUGCGGCGGCGCCGGGGCCCGCGAGGCCGGAGGAGGCGGCCGCGCCCGGGCAUGGUGGUCUGGGGCAGGGCUGAAGGUGAGCGACCCCGGGCCGGCGGCGGGGGUGGGGCGGGUGGGAGCGGCCCCGCGUCGCCCGGCGCGGCGGCCUGAGGCGGGCGAGGGCGGGCGCGCCGGCCCGGCCCCGCGGCCGUUGGUCUCGCGGCCUGGGCGGCCCGCGGCGCCCGAAGCGCGGCAGCUGCCGGGUUAUGUAACGCGUGACCUCCCUUCCCCUCCGCCAUGGCGCGGCCGGCCCGCCGCCGCCGCCCGCUCUCGGCCGCCCGCGGAGGCGCUGCGCCGAAGACCCGCGCCCGCGGCCCUCUCCGCCGCGCCCCGCGCCGGCCCCGCUCGGACCGCGCCGCAAACUCUCGGUUGCUGCGCCGGCGCCGCGCCGGCUCUUCAGCCCCGCGCCAUUCAUUCGUGCGCGCGGGCGGCCGGGCUCGGAGCGUCGCGGCUGGCGGCCGGGGCCCCGCGCCGGACCCUCCGCCCGGCCUCCCGCCGUGGCGUCACCCCCUCCGCCCCGCGGGACCCGGGAAUCGGCGGCGGACUCUGCGAAGGCAGUUUUUACUCACUUGUUUUUCCUGCUUACUCAUCUGUUGCCUUAAUACGCAGGCACCUGUCCCCAGCUGUCCUGACAAGCGCCCCUCGCCCACUGCACUCCUUGUGA
rnacentral:lncRNA from 1 species